rnacentral:rRNA from 1 species
ACUAAUUCUAGCCCUAUCACCUUACAACCUAAAUACACCCUAACAUAGACUAAAACAUUUAGACUAAUCUAAAGUAUUGGAGAAAGAAAUUAUUUACAGGAGCUAUAGAGAAAGUACCGAAAGGGAAAGAUGAAAGACUAAUUAAAAGUAAAAAAAAGCAAAGAUUAACCCUUGUACCUUUUGCAUAAUGAAUUAACUAGAAAAAAUUUAACUAAAAGAAUUAAAGCUAAAAAUCCCGAAACCAAACGAGCUACCUAAGAACAAUUAUAUGAAUCAACCCGUCUAUGUAGCAAAAUAGUGGGACGAUUUUUAGGUAGAGGUGAAAAGCCUAACGAGCUUGGUGAUAGCUGGUUGCCCAAAAAAUGAAUGUUAGUUCAACUUUAAAUUUACCUCAAGAACUACAAAUCCAAACGUAAAUUUAAAUUAUAGCCAAAAGAGGGACAGCUCUUUAGGAACGGAAAAAACCUUUAAUAGUGAAUAAACCCAAACUCAACUUAACCAUUGUAGGCCUAAAAGCAGCCAUCAAUAAAGAAAGCGUUCAAGCUCAACAUUAUAAUCUAUCAAUUCAACUAUCCAAAAUAAAUUCCUAUAUUUAAAUUGGGUUAAUCUAUAAUUAUAUAGAUGAAAUACUGUUAAUAUGAGUAACAAGAAAUAAUUCUCCAGGCACAAGCAUAUAACAACUCGGAUAACCAUUGUUAGUUAUAGAAAAAUAGACAAUAAACCCCCAAUAAAAUUGCCUAAAAUUAUAAUCGUUAAUCCAACACAGGAGUGCCACAAGGAAAGAUUAAAAAGAAUAAAAGGAACUCGGCAAACACGAACCCCGCCUGUUUACCAAAAACAUCACCUCUAGCAUUACAAGUAUUAGAGGCAUUGCCUGCCCAGUGACUAAAGUUAAACGGCCGCGGUAUCCUGACCGUGCAAAGGUAGCAUAAUCACUUGUUCCUUAAUUAGGGACUAGCAUGAAUGGCUGAACGAGGGUUCAACUGUCUCUUAUUCUCAAUCAGUGAAAUUGACCUUCCAGUGAAGAGGCUGGAAUAAAAUAAUAAGACGAGAAGACCCUAUGGAGCUUAAAUUAACUAGCUUAAUUAUCAAAACUAUAACCUAAUGGACCAAAAAUAAAAAUAUAAGCUAAAAAUUUCGGUUGGGGUGACCUCGGAGAACAAUACAACCUCCGAAUGAUUUUAGCAUAGACUAACAAGUCAAAGCAAUAAAUUUAAUCUUAUUGACCCAAAAUAUUUUGAUCAACGGACCAAGUUACCCUAGGGAUAACAGCGCAAUCCUAUUUAAGAGUUCAUAUCGACAAUAAGGGUUUACGACCUCGAUGUUGGAUCAGGACAUCCCAAUGGUGCAGAAGCUAUUAAUGGUUCGUUUGUUCAACGAUUAAAGUCCUACGUGAUCUGAGUUCAGACCGGAGCAAUCCAGGUCGGUUUCUAUCUAUUAACAAUUUCUCCCAGUACGAAAGGACAAGAGAAAUAGAGCCACCUUAACAAUAAGCGCUCUAAACAUAACUUAUGAAUAAAAUCUCAAUACAAUACUUAUGUACAAUAAUCGCACCUAGACAAGGUA